rnacentral:rRNA from 1 species
GACGAACGCUGGCGGCGUGCUUAACACAUGCAAGUCGAGCGGUAAGGCCCUUCGGGGUACACGAGCGGCGAACGGGUGAGUAACACGUGGGUGACCUGCCUCUAGCUCUGGGAUAAGCCUGGGAAACUGGGUCUAAUACCGGAUAUGACUCCACGGCGCAUGUUGUGGGGUGGAAAGCCUUGUGUGGCUAGAGAUGGGCCCGCGGCCUAUCAGCUUGUUGGUGGGGUGAUGGCCUACCAA